GACUCUUCUAUUAGUUUCAGUGUAUCUAGUUUUUGGUGGAGGUCUUUGAUUUUGCUUCUCUCUCUUAUAGCUCAUGUUCAUCUAAGAAAGGUAAGAGAACUAAUCAUAAAGAGAAACUUGAAUGUGUCAGACUGAAAGCUAUUAAUUGUUAUCAGUCAGAAAAAAAAGAUUGACAACUCCCAUGUUCUAAGUGUUGAUGGAAUCAGAGCACAUAUUCUCAGAGCUCAGGUGGAGGAUUCUGUAGCCUUUUAAAGGCAUACAAGACAAGUAGUAUCUUCCUUUCCUGAUGGAUCACUUACAAGGUGUUUGCUCAACAACCUGUGGACACAACUUUUUUGGUCCAUUCUUUGAAAACAGAUAUCACGGUGAGUAGAGAAAGUAAGAGGGCACAGGCAGCAUGGCAGGCAUGCCAAGAAUGGUUUCCUUAUUGCAUCUUAGAAAUUAAAAUUUCCACUGCGUUGCGCAGUCAGCAAAAUAACCUGGCCUCUGUUUCUCCUCUCAGCAACAUGCCUGUCAGAGUGUUCACAGGUUCUCUUCCUAGCCCACUACACAGACAUAUGUGAUUUAUUCAGAAAGUCACUCACCACCUUAAUUUGUAUAUAUAAAAAUAAAUGUAAUAUACAUGCUACGAACUGAACGUGAAUUUAUUUGCAUUAUUUCCAGCCACAGAGACAAGCUUCAUUCUCACAAUUAAAGCUAUUGUCUGUGUCUACAAUAUGCACCAGUCUACAUUGAGAAGUACAGUUCUCAUGAAUUAUUCCUGCUUCUCUUACUCAAUUUCCAAAUCUAUUUAGCUUUGCAAUUGCACCAAUACCAUGAGGAAGCAUUUGUGGUACCUUUACUGAUCCUCCGAAGACGCCUGCACCAGCAGUGAGGAGAAUUCUGGGGCAGCAUAUUGAAGCAUGCUUCUCUCCUACAUCUGCUUAGUCACAGCUUCUUGUUGAAUGCUAUAAGACUUCAGCGCAAUCCUGGAUCCAAGAUACAGGUUAAAGCCAAGAAGAAAAGAGCAGUACUUGGGGAAAAUGACGCUUAAACGAUCUUUCUGUGUCUUUAGCAAAAAUAGUUAAUUUAAGGUUUUUAAUAAUGCAUUUCCACUCAAUAUUACUUCAUUCAGAGUUAGACCAAACACUCUGAUAUAAUGGUGUACUUAAAAAUGACCUGUUGAGGUUCAGAAACAUCACAGGCUGGUUUUUAUUAUGUAGUAUUUCAAAGCUCAUUUACUUAAAUUUUUAAAUAUAGAAAAAAAACCACCUAGUAUCAUUCUAGUAAUAAUGUGAAAGUACUGGAAUGUUCAAAUUCUAACAGGUGAUUUUUAGGGUAUCAUAUAAAUAGACAGUGGAGGAUUUGAGAGCAAGGGGAAUGGAUCUGAACCCACUUUUCAUUUCAGCCAACCCAACAGUUGCAAAACUUUGAGAGCAUCCAUGCCCUUUUCAUCAGUCCGGCAUGUGAUUUUCCAGUGGGGCGGCUCCAUCUAAAAGGAUACUUUAAUGUCAUAUGGACAUUAUGUCUAUAGAACCUCAUUACCUUCUACUCAUGUACAAAUCACACUCAUGGGAUGCAGAGAAGUCAAUAGACUGCUUGCUGAGCAUGCACGAUACCUUGGAUCCCAUUCUCAAUUCUGUAUAGACUGGGCAUCAUGAAGUCCGCCUAUGCCCUAGCACUUGGGAGGUAGUAAUAGUUGUUCAGAAGUUCAGCAUCUCACGACUUGGUGAGUUCUAUGAGCACACGCGUUUCCUCUCUCCCCACUGGCACUGACUCGUUUGUCUCACUUUGCCAUGGUUUUUUCCUUUUAUCUUAGCAUCUGUAUGACACUGUUUGACAUAAAUGUACUUGUAUUCAUUCUCUUUCCUCUUCCACAUCCCAAUCACUCACUGUAGACAGUAUUUGCCCUCAGGUUGCGCCAGUGCAUAGUGGUAAUUUGAGAAAUUCCAUUAUUGCCAACUACAGUCUAUGAUACAUCAAAGCCUCAUGGCUCGGUUAUAGUCUCAACUCCUCCCAGUCCUUCCAAACCUGCUCUGGGCUAUCUGUUGACCCUGCCAUCUAGUUCUGCAUACACAUCAUCCAUACCUAUCUAAUUUCAUAUAAUGUAACUUGGUAUAAAAGAAGAAUUUUAAACUUAAUUCUUUAUACUCAAAUUUACUUUGUGUUUUCAUGUGUGAUUUAACCAGAAGUUAAUAAUUUAUAUCACUUUAGAAUAGCCAGUUUAAUAUUUUACUGAAAUUUGUUCUUACUGACAAUAAUGUUGCCUUUUAUGAAUAUUUUGGAUAAGCUAAGAAGCAUGAAUAUCCUUUUCCUUAAUACCAGCCUUGCCGACUACGAAUACUUAGAAGUUAUUCUGGAAUCUGGGACCAGAAAUAAGGAAAUACUCACAAAGACUGAAAGAGCCAACAGCACUUGUUAAAGGAGCAGAGGAGACAAUCAAAUGGAGACUGGGGUGCCCAUGGCCAAAGCUGGAAGAACCCAAGCAACAAAAUAAAUUGCUGAGAGUUGAAGGCUCAAGCAUAAAAUAAAAACCCAUGAGUCCAAAGACACUGCCGGCAAAAUAAGUAAAUGGAGACUAGAUGCCUCUGCUGGGAAGAGUAUCAAAUCACUUGUGGAGUUGCAAUCUCUGUGCUCGCUUUCGAGAGAAGCAAGGCCAAUAUGAUGAGGGGAAAGGGGGACAGAAUUUAAAUAAUCUCCUGCAAUUCCAGAGGCUUGACAACCCAAAGACUGCAGGGAAGGCUGGACACAGACUGGAAUCUGCUGACAAGUUGUAAGGUCAUCUGGUAACAUAAAUCCUGACUCCGGGAGGUCAGUAUUUUCCUAAGACCAUCAGCUGACAAGGUUCCCUGAGCCACAAAUCCAGGAGCUGUGCUGCAGAGGUAUCCAGUGGGGCUGGACUCCAGACAAUCCAUCAAUUUCUGCAUUAUGUCCUGCUGUGGUUGCCUAUAAUUGUCUCCAUUUGCUUUAAAAAAGAUCCUUCUUUGAUUAAGGGUGAUAGUUACACUUGUCUGUGGGUAUAAGAAUAGGACUUAAAAUGUAGCUAAAGAAUUAUGCUGGUCUACCAAAAACUUUCUUCUAAGAUACAUGACCUUAUUAGCCCUAGAAAGUUGACUAAGUUCCUAGUACCAGGUACAAUUUACUUCCUGUUGAGUAGGCCUUUAAAGGCACAUAGGUAUCUGGUGGUUACUACCAAUAUGUGAGUGCCACUAUUGCAUCUUUAAGGGAUAGCUUGCCAUAUUGGUCAUUGUGGUUCAGAUUUGUCACAACUGAGUAGGACUAUUAAUUGCCUCUCUUUUGGGAGAUUUUACAGUAUUUUCUGAUACCAUGGAAUCCAUACCACAUGAAUAAGGCUUUCAAGUUAGAUUCAAGGCAAAUAAUCGAAGCCUUGUGUACCAGUAACAUCUUCAGCAUUAGAGGAUUAGCUUUAAUCUUUGAGAGGCGCUGUAGGGCAACAAUAGCUGUGCAUUGUUUUGGGACUCAUUGACUACCUACUCAUUGACUACCCUGACCACUUGCUAGGAGGUUUCUCAUGACUUAUACUGGGGUUGUUGUUAAUCUAUGGUUCUUGUAUGAAACAUUGUCAACCCAACACACACACACACACACACACACACACACACGCACGCACGCACGCACACACACACACACACACACACGCGCGCACGCACGCAUGCACACACACACACACACACACGCGGGGUUAUAUAACAUGCUAACAUAACAUGUUAGCAUUUAUCAAUAUCAAUUUACAAAAACAGAUGUCUUUCCAUUUUCCAGUGUCUUUUUUAGUACUUUUCUUCAGAGAUUAAAGAUUUCAUAACAGAGUUCUUCCACAACUUUUUCAGGCUUACUAUAAGUUAUUCGGUUGUCUUUGAUGCUACUAAAAAUGGAAAUGUGUUCAUGAUCUCUUUCUGAAUGUGUUAUUAAUGUAUAUUUAAAAACAUCUAUGGACAUU
rnacentral:sRNA from 1 species